rnacentral:rRNA from 1 species
AGAGCGAACGCUGGCGGCAUGCUUAACACAUGCAAGUCGCACGGGCACUUCGGUGUCAGUGGCGGACGGGUGAGUAACGCGUAGGUAUCUAUCCUUGGGUGGGGGACAACGGUUGGAAACGACUGCUAAUACCGCAUAAUAACUGAGGUUUAAAGGCGCAAGUCGCCUGAGGAGGAGCCUGCGUACGAUUAGCUAGUUGGUGGGGUAAAGGCCUACCAAGGCGACGAUCGUUAGCUGGUCUGAGAGGAUGAUCAGCCACAUUGGGACUGAGACACGGCCCAAACUCCUACGGGAGGCAGCAGUGGGGAAUAUUGGACAAUGGGCGAAAGCCUGAUCCAGCAAUGCCGCGUGUGUGAAGAAGGUCUUCGGAUUGUAAAGCACUUUCGACAGGGACGAUGAUGACGGUACCUGUAGAAGAAGCCCCGGCUAACUUCGCGCCAGCAGCCGC